rnacentral:pre_miRNA from 1 species
UAUUAGAAAGUGAACUAUACAAAGACGGUUAUUCCAAAAACCGUUUUAGUAUAAUUUACUUUUUACGA